rnacentral:rRNA from 14 species
GCCUGGCGGCACUAGCGCGGUGGUCCCACCUGACCCCAUGCCGAACUCAGAAGUGAAACGCCGUAGCGCCGAUGGUAGUG